AUGAAAUCACUGGAAGAAACAAGAAUAAGAAUUAUGUUAUGCUUAUCCUUCAUCAAUUUAAAUUGAUGAGAAGCAGUGGAUUUGCAUACUACUUAUUCUCGUUGAAAAUGAUUACGAAAGAUAUAGCGCGAACUUGGGAAAGUCUUCAUGAACCACCGGUAGGAUUUGGGAAAAACGACUGAAUUGAUACGUAAACAAAGGAAGAGGAAUCUUGAACGAACCACCGUAAGAAAUGAAGACGAUUAAAGAAAAGUGACCAAAUCACCGGGGAGAAUUUAGAAAAUGAACGGAGAUACUUGAGGGAAUUCAGAUACAAGAGAAUUAAGAGAUCAUGAACUGAUUAGAGGAUAUUUGGAUGAUGCAUUGGUAGAAUUGGGGAAUGAGAGCUGAAUGUUGUGAACGAAUAGAUAUUUUGAAAUGAUGGCCUUUGAAUGACCGAGAAAGGAAAGCUACUGCUGAAAUGCUCCGGAUGGGUAUGAAAGAAUUUCUCACAAUCGAAAACAAUUUUAGGAGGAUAACAACAAACUUGAGCCACAAAUCUUCGAGAGAACGAACAAGAUUAAGGAGAAUUCUUCUUCGCUCUUCAAAGCUGAGAACAAGGAUGAGGAACACCACCAUGAAUAGUUGAGACACUCCGGAACAAUGAAGAAUAGAGAGGUUGAGCCAAAGAUGAAAAGAAUUUGAAAGCAAUCUUGGAGGAGGCAUCUGACUAAUGGAAUUCAUUCUUACGUCAAAUUUUGAAAUGAAUUUGAGAAUAGCUUCGAAAUUAGAGAGCUAGGUAAGAUCCUGGGAAAAAGACCUGUGAGUUAGGGCCCACUCAAAGAUACACCGUUGAAGUGAUUUUUAAAAGAGAGAUUUCACCGGUUAAAUUAAAUGGCUUGAAUGAGAUAACAACCUCGAAAUAGCUUGAAGAGAUUAAGAAUGGAAACAUUAAUCUUCUGAGAUAUCUUGAGCACUCCGGAUAUGAGUAGAGAGAGGUGAAUAAAUAAGAGAGCCUGGGAUAAGAACUUCCAACAUGAUAAAGCAUUUCAGGAAAGAAAAGGGAUAUGAUCAACACUGAAAACUUGAAUUAAAUCCACCGGAGAAGAAAAUGAGAACAAAAAAAUGAUGAACUUGAAGCUCUUCACGAGGAAACGUCGGAUAAGAACAUUGGAGGGAAAAAUGAAGAGACUUCUCAUGAAUAAAAUGGAUACUUGAUUAAGAAACCCGAGUCCUUAAAGAAAAGGGUGGGAUGGUGGGAAAACAAAGGCAACUUGGGAUGGAUGAAAUGAAUGUUGUUGGAAAAACUGAGAAUUGAUCUUGUGAAUGUUGAAAUGAUUGGAUUAGCCUGAAGAGAAGCACGCCAGUUGGAAAAGAAUGAACAUAACAAUCCCGAUGAUCAAGAAGGAUUAGCACUCCCGUAAAAUAUGAGAACACCACGUAGGAAAAGGUAUGGAAUCAACACUUGACAUCGAAGCAACUCGAAUACCACAACUCAAAACAAAACAAAGGAUUUGGCUUGCAAAUAAGCUGGAACAAACAUAUGAUAGAGAUUUCGUCUGAAAUUUUCAUGGUGGGGCCCACACAGGCUCGUGGUACAGCACCAUCAUGUACAAGGUAGUGCACAUGACAUACGAUGCGUCCCCGAGUCAGCAUAGCCAAGGACUCUUUAAGACACAACGAGACCACUGUAAAACCAACCGUGGAUAAGCGGACCACUAUAUGUUGAAUCCCAAUCUCACAUCAUGCAUCUGUAGGAAAGAUAUCCUAUGUAACUACUUUUCCCACCCAUGAACUCCUUCUGGUUAUGCAAUCUGGUGUUGGGGAUACAGUGAGGCACAAAUAUUCACACAACUAACAAAUCCUACACUCCAACUAUAUCCAUCCGUCAACACAUAACCAAGAAAACCUCGGAAAUCGUGUACCCCAGACCUUCAAACACACAACGAUAAUAGUCAUGGAGGAUCAUCCGUGCUAUCUCCUCUAGUACUGGGGAUAAGUCACGACACUAUUUGCCACCAUGAAAAGUAUGGGAGCAUUUCGAUACAAUACCCGCGUGAUCCUAAAAAAAACUGGGAUUUUUACAUUUGUGCCCCUGGUUCCUUAGCUCUACUCAUUCAUCCUCGUGCUCUUAACUUUUGCUCAAUUUUCCCCUCUCCCUUGCCAGAAACCCUCAUAACUGGGCACAACUGUUGGGUUUCGUAGUAAUUUCAAAAAAUUUCCUACGCGCACACAGGAUCAUGUGAUGCAUAGCAACGAGAGGAGAGUGUUGUCUACGUACCCAACGCAGACCGACUGCGGAAGCAAUGACACGACGUAGAGGAAGUAGUCGUACGUCUUCACGAUCCAACCGAUCAAGCACCGAAACUACGGCACCUCCGAGUUCGAGCACACGUUCAGCUCGAUGACGAUCCCCGGACUCCGAUCCAGCAAAGUGUCGGGGAAGAGUUUCGUCAGCACGACGGCGUGGUGACGAUCUUGAUGAACUACAGCAGCAGGGCUUCGCCUAAACUCCGCUACAGUAUUAUCGAGGAAUAUGGUGGCAGGGGGCACCGCACACGGCUAAGGAAUCGAUCACGUGGAUCAACUUGUGUCAACUUGUGUGUUUAGAGGUGCCCCUGCCUCCGUAUAUAAAGGAGCCAAGGGGGGAGGAGGCGCCGGCCAGGAGGAGGUGGCGCAGGAGGAGUCCUACUCCUACCGGGAGUAGGACUCCCCUCCAAUCCUAUUCCAACUAGGAUUCCCAAGGGGGAAAGAGGGAGAGGGGUGGCCGGCCACCUCUCCUAGUCCUAAUAGGACUAGGGGAAGGGGGAAGGCGCGCAGCCCCCUUGGGCUGCCCCUUUCUCCUUUCCACUAAGGCCCAUGAUGGCCCAUAUGGCUCCCGGGGGGUUCCGGUAACCUCUCGGUAACCCGGUAAAAUCCCGAUUUCACCCGGAACACUUCCGAUGUCCAAACAUAGACUUCCAAUAUAUCAAUCUUUAUGUCUCGACCAUUUCGAGACUCCUCGUCAUGUCCGUGAUCACAUCCGGGACUCCGAACAACCUUCGGUACAUCAAAAUGCAUAAACUCAUAAUAUAACUGUCAUCGUAACCUUAAGCGUGCGGACCCUACGGGUUCGAGAACAAUGUAGACAUGACCGAGACACGUCUCUGGUCAAUAACCAAUAGCGGGACCUGGAUGCCCAUAUUGGCUCCUACAUAUUCUACGAAGAUCUUUAUCGGUCAGACCGCAUAACAACAUACGUUGUUCCCUUUGUCAUCGGUAUGUUACUUGCCCGAGAUUCGAUCGUCGGUAUCCAAUACCUAGUUCAAUCUCGUUAUCGGCAAGUCUCUUUACUCGUUCCGUAAUACAUCAUCUCACAACUAACAUAUUAGUUGCAAUGCUUGCAAGGCUUAUGUGAUGUGUAUUACCGAGAGGGCACAGAGAUACCUCUCCAUCAAUCGGAGUGACAAAUCCUAAUCUCGAAAUACGCCAACCCAACAUCGACCAUUGGAGACACCUGUAGUACUCCUUUAUAAUCACCCAGUUACGUUGUGACGUUUGGUAGUACCCAAAGUGUUCCUCCGGUAAACGGGAGUUGCAUAAUCUCAUAGUCAUAGGAACAUGUAUAAGUCAUGAAGAAAGCAAUAGCAACAUACUAAACGAUCGGGUGCUAAGCUAAUGGAAUGGGUCAUGUCAAUCAGAUCAUUCUACUAAUGAUGUGACCUCGUUAAUCAAAUAACAACUCAUUGUUCAUGGUUAGGAAACAUAACCAUCUUUGAUUAACGAGCUAGUCAAGUAGAGGCAUACUAGUGACACUCUGUUUGUCUAUGUAUUCACACAUGUAUUAUGUUUCCGGUAAAUACAAUUCUAGCAUGAAUAAUAAACAUUUAUCAUGAUUAUAAGGAAAUAAAUAAUAACUUUAUUAUUGCCUCUAGAGCAUAUUUCCUUCAGUCUCCCACUUGCACUAGAGUCAAUAAUCUAGAUUACACUGUAAUGAAUCUAACACCCAUGGAGCUUUGGUGCUGAUCAUGUUUUGCUCGUGGAAGAGGCUUAGUCAACGGGUCUGCAACAUUCAGAUCCGUAUGUAUCUUGCAAAUCUCUAUGUCUCCCACCUGGACUAGAUCCCGGAUGGAGUUGAAGCGUCUCUUGAUGUGUUUGGUCCUUUUGUGAAAUCUGGAUUCCUUUGCCAAGGCAAUUGCACCAGUAUUGUCACAAAAGAUUUUCAUUGGACCCGAUGCACUAGGUAUGACACCUAGAUCGGAUAUGAACUCCUUCAUCCAGACUCCUUCAUUUGCUGCUUCCGAAGCAGCUAUGUAUUCCGCUUCACAUGUAGAUCCCGCUACGACGCUUUGUUUAGAACUGCACCAACUGACAGCUCCACCGUUUAAUGUAAACACGUAUCCGGUUUGUGAUUUAGAAUCAUCCGGAUCAGUGUCAAAGCUUGCAUCAACGUAACCUUUUACGAUGAGCUCUUUGUCACUUCCAUAUACGAGAAACAUAUCCUUAGUCCUUUUCAGGUAUUUCAGGAUGUUCUUGACCGCUGUCCAGUGAUCCAUUCCUGGAUUACUUUGGUACCUCCCUGCUAAACUUAUAGCAAGGCACACAUCAGGUCUGGUACACAGCAUUGCAUACAUGAUAGAGCCUAUGGCUGAUGCAUAGGGAACAUCUUUCAUAUUCUCUCUAUCUUCUGCAGUGGUCGGGCAUUGAGUCUUACUCAAUUUCACACCUUGUAACACAGGCAAGAACCCUUUCUUCGCUUGAUCCAUUUUGAACUUCUUCAAAAUUUUGUCAAGGUAUGUGCUUUGUGAAAGUCCAAUUAAGCGUCUUGAUCUAUCUCUAUAGAUCUUAAUGCCUAAUAUGUAAGCAGCUUCACCGAGGUCUUUCAUUGAAAAACUUUUAUUCAAGUAUCCCUUUAUGCUAUCCAGAAAUUCUAUAUCAUUUCCAAUCAGUAAUAUGUCAUCCACAUAUAAUAUCAGAAAUGCUACAGAGCUCCCACUCACUUUCUUGUAAAUACAGGCUUCUCCGAAAGUCUGUAUAAAACCAAAUGCUUUGAUCACACUAUCAAAACGUUUAUUCCAACUCCGAGAGGCUUGCACCAGUCCAUAAAUGGAUCGCUGGAGCUCGCACACUUUGUUAGCUCCCUUUGGAUCGACAAAACCUUCUGGUUGCAUCAUAUACAACUCUUCUUCCAGAAAUCCAUUCAGGAAUGCAGUUUUGACAUCCAUUUGCCAAAUUUCAUAAUCAUAAAAUGCGGCAAUUGCUAACAUGAUUCGGACGGACUUAAGCAUCGCUACGGGUGAGAAGGUCUCAUCGUAGUCAAUUCCUUGAACUUGCCGAAAACCUUUUGCGACAAGUCGAGCUUUGUAGACAGUAACAUUACCAUCAGCGUCAGUCUUCUUAAAAAUCCAUUUAUUCUCAAUUGCUUGCCGAUCAUCGGGCAAGUCAACCAAAGUCCAUACUUUGUUCUCAUACAUGGAUCCCAUCUCAGAUUUCAUGGCUUCAAGCCACUUUACGGAAUCUGGGCUCACCAUCGCUUCUUCAUAGUUCGUAGGUUCAUCAUGAUCUAGUAGCAUGACCUCCAGAACAGGAUUACCGUACCACUCUGGUGCGGAUCUUACUCUGGUUGAUCUACGCGGUUCAGUAGUAUCUUGAUCUGAAGUUUCAUGAUCAUUAUCAUUGGCUUCCUCACUAACUGGUGUAGGUGUCACUGAAACAGUUUUCUGUGAUGAACUACUUUCUAGUAAGGGAGCAGGUACAGUUACCUCGUCAAGUUCUACUUUCCUCCCACUCACUUCUUUCGAGAGAAACUCCUUCUCUAGAAAUGAUCCAUUCUUAGCAACGAAUGUUUUGCCUUCGGAUCUGUGAUAGAAGGUGUACCCAACAGUUUCCUUUGGGUAUCCUAUGAAGACACAUUUCUCCGAUUUGGGUUCGAGCUUAUCAGGUUGAAGCUUUUUCACAUAAGCAUCGCAGCCCCAAACUUUAAGAAACGACAACUUUGGUUUCUUGCCAAACCACAGUUCAUAAGGCGUUGUCUCAACGGAUUUUGAUGGUGCCCUAUUUAACGUGAAUGCGGCCGUCUCUAAAGCAUAUCCCCAAAAUGAUAGCGGUAAAUCAGUGAGAGACAUCAUAGAUCGCACCAUAUCUAGUAAAGUACGAUUACGACGUUCGGACACACCAUUACGCUGUGGUGUUCCGGGUGGCGUGAGUUGCGAAACUAUUCCACAGUUUUUCAAAUGUACGCCAAACUCGUAACUCAAAUAUUCUCCUCCACGAUCAGAUCGUAGAAACUUUAUUUUCUUGUUACGAUGAUUUUCAACUUCACUCUGAAAUUCUUUGAACUUUUCAAAUGUUUCAGACUUAUGUUUCAUUAAGUAAAUAUACCCAUAUCUGCUUAAAUCAUCUGUGAAGGUGAGAAAAUAACGAUAUCCGCCACGAGCCUCAAUAUUCAUCGGGCCACAUACAUCGGUAUGUAUGAUUUCCAACAAAUCUGUUGCUCUCUCCAUAGUACCGGAGAACGGUGUUUUAGUCAUCUUGCCCAAGAGGCACGGUUCGCAAGUACCAAGUGAUUCAUAAUCAAGUGGUUCCAAAAGUCCAUCGAUAUGGAGUUUCUUCAUGCGCUUUAUACCGAUAUGACCUAAACGACAGUGCCACAAAUAAGUUGCACUUUCAUUAUCUACUCUGCAUCUUUUGGCUUCAACAUUAUGAAUAUGUGUAUUACUACUAUCGAGAUUUAAUAAAAAUAGACCACUCUUCAAGGGUGCAUGACCAUAAAAGAUAUUACUCAUAUAAAUAGAACAACCAUUAUUCUUUGAUUUAAAUGAAUAACCGUCUCGCAUUAAACAAGAUCCAGAUAUAAUGUUCAUGCUCAACGCUGGCACCAAAUAACAAUUACUUAGGUCUAAUAUUAAUCCCGAAGGUAGAUGUAGAGGUAGCGUGCCGACUGCGAUCACAUCGACUUUGGAACCGUUUCCCACGCGCAUCGUCACCUCGUCCUUUGCCAGUGCCCGCUUAUUCUGUAGUCCCUGUUUCGAGUUGCAAAUAUUAGCAACAGAACCAAUAUCAAAUACCCAGGUGCUACUGCGAGCUCUAGUAAGGUACACAUCAAUAACAUGUAUAUCACAUAUACCUUUGUUCACCUUGCCAUCCUUCUUAUCCGCCAAAUACUUGGGGCAGUUCCGCUUCCAGUGACCAGUCUGCUUGCAGUAGAAGCACUCAGUUUCAGGCUUAGGUCCAGACUUAGGUUUCUUCUCUUGAGCAGCAACUUGUUUGCCGUUCUUCUUGAAGUUCCCCUUUUUCUUCCCUUUGCCCUUUUUCUUGAAACUAGUGGUCUUGUUAACCAUCAACACUUGAUGCUCCUUCUUGAUUUCUACCUCCGCAGCUUUCAGCAUUGCGAAGAGCUCGGGAAUAGUCUUGUUCAUCCCUUGCAUAUUAUAGUUCAUUACGAAGCUCUUGUAGCUUGGUGGCAGUGAUUGGAGAAUUCUGUCGAUGACGCAAUCAUCCGGAAGAUUAACUCCCAAUUGAAUCAAGUGAUUAUUAUACCCAGACAUUUUGAGUAUAUGCUCACUGACAGAACUGUUCUCCUCCAUCUUGCAGCUAUAGAACUUCUUGGAGACUUCAUAUCUCUCAAUCCGGGCAUUUGCUUGAAAUAUUAACUUCAACUCCUGGAACAUCUCAUAUGCUCCAUGACGUUCAAAACGUCGUUGAAGUCCCGAUUCUAAGCCGUAAAGCAUGGCACACUGAACUAUCGAGUAGUCAUCAGCUUUGCUCUGCCAGACGUUCAUAACAUCUGGCGUUGCUCCAGCAGCAGGCCUGGCACCCAGCGGUGCUUCCAGGACGUAAUUCUUCUGUGCAGCAAUGAGGAUAAUCCUCAAGUUACGGACCCAGUCCGUGUAAUUGCUACCAUCAUCUUUCAACUUUGCUUUCUCAAGGAACGCAUUAAAAUUUAACGGAACAACAGCACGAGCCAUCUAUCUACAAUCAACAUAAACAAGCAAGAUACUAUCAGGGACUAAGUUCAUGAUAAAUUUUAAGUUCAAUUAAUCAUAUUACAAAAGAACUCCCACUUAUAUAGACAUCUCUCUAAUCCUCUAAGUGAUCACGUGAUCCAAAUCAACUAAACCAUAACCGAUCAUCACGUGAGAUGGAGUAGUUUUCAAUGGUGAACAUCGUUAUGUUGAUCAUAUCUACUAUAUGAUUCACGCUCGACCUUUCGGUCUCCGUGUUCCGAGGCCAUAUCUGCAUAUGCUAGGCUCGUCAAGUUUAACCUGAGUAUUCUGCGUGUGCAAAACUGGCUUGCACCCGUUGUAGAUGGACGUAGAGCUUAUCACACCCGAUCAUCACGUGGUGUCUGGGCACGACGAACUUUGGCAACGGUGCAUACUCAGGGAGAACACUUCUUGAUAAUUUAGUGAGAGAUCAUCUUAUAAUGCUACCGUCAAUCAAAGCAAGAUAAGAUGCAUAAAAAGAUAAACAUCACAUGCAAUCAAUAUAAGUGAUAUGAUAUGGCCAUCAUCAUCUCGUGCUUGUGAUCUCCAUCUCUGAAGCACCGUCAUGAUCACCAUCGUCACCGGCGCGACACCUUGAUCUCCAUCGUAGCAUCGUUGUCGUCCCGCCAAUCUUAUGCUUCCACGACUAUCACUACCGUUUAGUAAUAAAGUAAAGCAUUACAUCGCGAUUGCAUUGCAUACAAUAAAGCGACAACCAUAUGGCUCCUGCCAGUUGCCGAUAACUCGGUUACAAAACAUGAUCAUCUCAUACAAUAAAAUUCAGCAUCAUGCCUUGACCAUAUCACAUCACAACAUGCCCUGCAAAAACAAGUUAGAUGUCCUCUACUUUGUUGUUGCAUGUUUUACGUGGCUGCUACGGGCUUAAGUAAGAACCAAUCUCACCUACGCAUCAAAACCACAACGAUAGUUUGUCAAAUAGACUCCGUUUUAACCUUCGCAAGGACCGGGCGUAGCCAUACUUGGUUCAACUAAAGUUGGAGAGGCAGUCGCCCGCAAGCCAUCUCUGUGCAAAGCACGUCGAGGGAACCGGUCUCGCGUAAGCGUACGCGUAAGGUUGGUCCGGGUCGUCUCGUCCAACAAUACCGCCGAACCAAAGUAUGACAUGCUGGUAGGCAGUAUGACUUGUAUCGUCCACAACUUACUUGUGUUCUACUCGUGCAUAUAACAUCAACAUCAAUAACCUAGGCUCGGAUGCCACUGUUGGGUUUCGUAGUAAUUUCAAAAAUUUUCCUACGCGCACACAGGAUCAUGUGAUGCAUAGCAACGAGAGGAGAGUGUUGUCUACGUACCCAACGCAGACCGACUGCGGAAGCGAUGACACGACAUAGAGGAAGUAGUCGUACGUCUUCACGAUCCAACCGAUCAAGCACCGAAACUACGGCACCUCCGAGUUCGAGCACACGUUCAGCUCGAUGACGAUCCCCGGACUCCGAUCCAGCAAAGUGUCGGGGAAGAGUUUCGUCAGCACGACGGCGUGGUGACGAUCUUGAUGAACUACAGCAGCAGGGCUUCGCCUAAACUCCGCUACAGUAUUAUCGAGGAAUAUGGUGGCAGGGGGCACCGCACACGGCUAAGGAAUCGAUCACGUGGAUCAACUUGUGUCAACUUGUGUGUUUAGAGGUGCCCCUGCCUCCGUAUAUAAAGGAGCCAAGGGGGGAGGAGGCGCCGGCCAGGAGGAGGUGGCGCAGGAGGAGUCCUACUCCUACCGGGAGUAGGACUCCCCCCCAAUCCUAUUCCAACUAGGAUUCCCAAGGGGGAAAGAGCGAGAGGGGUGGCCGGCCACCUCUCCUAGUCCUACUAGGACUAGGGGAAGGGGGGAGGCGCGCAGCCCCCUUGGGCUGCCCCUUUCUCCUUUCCACUAAGGCCCAUGAUGGCCCAUAUGGCUCCCGGGGGGUUCCGGUAACCUCCCGGUAACCCGGUAAAAUCCCGAUUUCACCCGGAACACUUCCGAUGUCCAAACAUAGACUUCCAAUAUAUCAAUCUUUAUGUCUCGACCAUUUCGAGACUCCUCGUCAUGUCCGUGAUCACAUCCGGGACUCCGAACAACCUUCGGUACAUCAAAAUGCAUAAACUCAUAAUAUAACUGUCAUCGUAACCUUAAGCGUGCGGACCCUACGGGUUCGAGAACAAUGUAGACAUGACCGAGACACGUCUCCGGUCAAUAACCAAUAGCGGGACCUGGAUGCCCAUAUUGGCUCCUACAUAUUCUACGAAGAUCUUUAUCGGUCAGACCGCAUAACAACAUACGUUGUUCCCUUUGUCAUCGGUAUGUUACUUGCCCGAGAUUCGAUCGUCGGUAUCCAAUACCUAGUUCAAUCUCGUUACUAGCAAGUCUCUUUACUCGUUCCGUAAUACAUCAUCUCACAACUAACAUAUUAGUUGUAAUGCUUGCAAGGCUUAUGUGAUGUGUAUUACCGAGAGGGCCCAGAGAUACCUCUCCGACAAUCGGAGUGACAAAUCCUAAUCUCGAAAUACGCCAACCCAACAUCGACCAUUGGAGACACCUGUAGUACUCCUUUAUAAUCACCCAGUUACGUUGUGACGUUUGGUAGUACCCAAAGUGUUCCUCCGGUAAACGGGAGUUGCAUAAUCUCAUAGUCAUAGGAACAUGUAUAAGUCAUGAAGAAAGCAAUAGCAACAUACUAAACGAUCGGGUGCUAAGCUAAUGGAAUGGGUCAUGUCAAUCAGAUCAUUCUACUAAUGAUGUGACCUCGUUAAUCAAAUAACAACUCAUUGUUCAUGGUUAGGAAACUUAACCAUCUUUGAUUAACGAGCUAGUCAAGUAGAGGCAUACUAGUGACACUCUGUUUGUCUAUGUAUUCACACAUGUAUUAUGUUUCCGGUAAAUACAAUUCUAGCAUGAAUAAUAAACAUUUAUCAUGAUUAUAAGGAAAUAAAUAAUAACUUUAUUAUUGCCUCUAGGGCAUAUUUCCUUCAACAACAGACGUUGCCGUCGGGUCAAAGGCUUGAUCGUUAACUCUGACUAGUGGGGCCACGCUGGACCGUGUCGUCCGUUCGACUUGACAAGUGGGGCCACGUUGGGUGGUGUCACUGUUCGACCGCUGGGCCGUGGUUUCAUUGGGCAAUCCCUUGCAUUAAACGUCUGCGCGCGCCGCCAAGACAGAAGCCUGCUAUGCAUGUACCCAACAAAGGUUGCCUGCAUGCGCCGAUGCCAUGAUCCCACGAUGCACCGACAGAGCCUGCAUGCACCGAUGCGUCCGCCAUGAUGCACUGACUGAGUAGUUUUCUUGCAUGCCAGCCGCCACGGAUGCAGCGACGGUCACUGCCGUUGGUUCCUCUCUUCUAGCUAGGUGGUUACAUAUUUGUGGCUUGUGUAAAAAAAGAGCCACUCCCUUGCUUAGUUGUACUCAUUCAUCCCUACUAGCAAAGCUUGCUUGCAUGCACUAGGUGGUUACUAACAAGGGAACCCUACUAACAAGACGAGCUCUCUAAGAAAAUAAUCAACAAAUAUGUAGUCCGAAUAUAGGGCCAACAAGCCCAUAACACGAUCACAUAUCUCAAACUAGGAAGAACUUAAUAAUAGAAUAGAUAGAAAACUUAAUAAUAGAAUUUAAUUAAAGGGCCAACAAGCCCAUAGCAACUCCAACAUAGUUCAAUUACAACAUAACAUAACAUAGACGAAAAAAAGAUAGAGGGUUUAGAACCCUAGCCACCGCCUUCUCCACCUCGCUCCUCCUCCGGGCGCUCUUUUCACUGCUCCUCUGAGGCGUUGUCGAUGGGGUACAGAAGAGUGUGCAUGCGCGUCACGGCGGGGAAGAUUUUGUUGUACUCCGUGAACCUGUUGUGGGUGGUGAAAGCGAUGAACUCGGAGCCACACCAAAACACCCGACCGAGGAGGUAGAAGGCGUCGAAUGUGUUGGUGAAGUGGGCAAGGAGAGCAACCACCACCCGGUUUUGGAUGAACUCCUCGAUGCGGAACAUCGUUGGAGAUCCCCUUGGGAGGUGGUGGUAGCCGGACGCGAGGAAGAACUCGUUGAAGUUCCUUGCGGUCCUCAGCCUUGAUAUCACCCACACACGUAGUGUCCGAUCAACAUACACGCCGGUAGGGUAGAGCCUCUCUGGCACGAUGGGUGGGAAGUGGUAGGUUGGUCUGGUGUACUGCAUGGCUGAGGGAUGUGCAGAAGACGGAGAAGGGGUCGAAGAGCAAGAAGGGAGAUGGAUGAGGGAUCACAGAGGCAGAGGGUGGCUUAAAUAGCUGUAGUGCUAUGUGUUAUUUGGCCGCGACAAUAACGGGGUCAAAUGUGAAGUAACCCAUUUUCAAACCCACCACAGCAUCGGGAGUGUACACGCGUGGGAAACGGUGGUUUAAAAAAGAAGAAGAAAAAGAAGCUAAUUGCACGCGUGGGAAUCCGUGGUCAUAUAUAUUAUAUGAACAAAAAGAGACAAUUUUUGAAUAGUUCGUGGCCAUUUUGCAUGAUAAAAAUAAAUUUGGCCCUUAAAAAUUGGUCAUUUGCUAUGCAAUGUCAAUUGAUUUCAAACGAUGCAAAAAUAUAGAGUCAGCACGUUCACAAAAAACAGAGCAAAUGAUGCAAAAAUACAGAGCCAACACAUUCACAAAAAACAGAGCAAAUGAUGCAAAAUAAAAACGGCGCAAUUCGACGAACCAACCAGAGCCUGGUUUCCUUUUGGGCCCAAUAAAAAUGGUUUUUUUUCAUGGAGUCUGUGGUGGGUGAGCAGCCGAGCACAACGAAUAGGAUCGCCGCUCGUGGAUCGCCCCACGAUCCAACGAUGCGGAGCCGUCCUUGUGAUCCAACGGCGCGGAGCCUGCACACAGCCAGCCCAUCUAGUUCCUUCUAGAAGGCCAGAUUUGAGGUUUGUCGCUUGGCGCGAGGGUAUGAUCAGACGGCUGACGUUGGGAGCUAAGGUUAGGCGAAAACCCGCGAGGUUUAGAGGGGGUUUGAGCUGUUCAACGGGGUUUCGAUGGCUUUGACUGAGCAUAACUAAUUUAAAAAAAUCGAAAAAUAUGAAACCUUUGCCGUUCGUCGUUUUAUAAGACAAACUAACGAGGAAAAAUACUAAACUUGGUCUAUGGUCAUUUUCAUGAAAAAACCCUAGCUGGCACGAUCGAGGUGAAAUGAGCACCAUUGAUUUAAAAAAAAUCAAAAAAAUAUAAAAUCUGCGCACAAUGUUGUCUUAUGUGACAUGUUACCAACCAAAAAUCAUAAACUUGGUCUAUGGUCAUUUUCAUGAGAAAACCUUCACACAUAUGAGCUAUCAUGUACAUGAUUUCAUAGAGUUCAAGGAGAGGAGGUGGUGUUACCUUCUGUUUUUGAAUUUUUUUAAAAAAAUUAAAAAAACCACCAAAGCUUUAUUUUAAAGUGAAUAAGAAGGAUCUGAAGUUAGUUUUCCAUUUUCAUAUUUCAAAAUGUGUUUUAAUAGUUUUUAUAUUAUAACAUAUGUUUUCAAAAGAAAAUGUAAAAAUAUGAAGAUUAAUUCAAAAAAUAGUGAGACUUCGAAUCUACACUAUGGAAAGUGAAUAUGUGUUAAUAAGAAAACAUUUGGCUCAUUUAGAGUAGGUUCAAAAAAACUUGAUUACAAAUGGGUUGUUGACCCUAGCCUGGGAGCUCAUUUGGAGCCCAUUUUCUCAAAUUCAAAUUUAUUUGACCUCCUCUAAAUCACUUCAAAUUUUGCACACAUGAUCUCCUACACAAACAUAGAUAGUUUGCCAAGGUUUUACUUGUUUUUGCAUUUUCUUGAAUUUGUACUGUCCAGGUUUGCCAAGGUUUACAUGAUCUCAUUUGGAGCAUGCAUUUGAUUUCCUACACAACAUGUGUGAUCAUUGCAGCACCUAAGAUCACAGUUCACAACAUCUAAACAUAAAUAACCAUAGAUUCAUGACAGACAAAUAUACCACAUGCAAAUUUGAAGGACAUACAAAUAUGGAUAGCAACCAGAUUACUAGCAUAACCAACGAGAGAUUCAGUUCAACAAACUAUAACCAACGGGAUUCAGUUCAACAAACCAAAAGUAACCCAACAGUUCAUCAAACCAAACCAAAAGUAACACAACAUCACAUCAUCGAUCACAUCACGCCGGAGUCAGGGCCUUCGCGAGGGAGGCAUGCUGCCCCCUGAUCAUGUAGUCCUCCCCGCGAAUCGCCACAUCCUCAGCAUGAGACAGAAGGUUAUCGAAGCGGCCAUCCCUUGGCUUUGGCUUGGUGGUGCAGUAGGGGCAAUGCCACUUCUUGAACUUGCGGUUGCGAAGGAAGCAACUCCCUUGGCCUUGAUCUUCUCCACCUCCUUGGCUGUGAAGGACGCGACGUUGCCCUUGUACACAUCAUCUCUAGAAUCAUACUGCACACAUGAAUGAAUUGCAUUAAUACAUUAUAGAUUCAUAUACACCAUGUCAAAGGAACUAAAUGAAUAAGGGAUAUGCUUACCUCACAUUCAGAAUCGUCACUAAAUGCCCCCUCGUACGGGUCGUAGUCAGCUAGCUUCCUCUUUCUCCCCAACCAUCCUCCUCCUGAAUAUACAAUUACAUCCAUCACUAGUAGCCAAUUGAAAAUUUAGAUAUGCACACAUGACACAUUGAUCAUAGGGCUAAUAUACUCCCAAUAUCAGAAAUGUUUUAGAAGUGGUUUUUUUUAUUUCUGUGCCCCUUAGCUCUAUGCAUUCAAAAACCACAUCCAUCACUAGUAUAUCAAUAUAUUAGAUUUGUACACACAUUGAUCAAAAACCCCAAUAUGACAUUCAAAUAACACAUUGUUCAUUGUUCAUGCACACACAUUGAAGAACAGAGCUAAUAUAACUACAUAUUGUGGAAAAAUUUAUAUACUAAUGAAUCAAAUAACUUCUUAAUCAAUGGAUUCCAUUUGGGCAUAUGACAUUCAAAACCUCAAUCUGAGUAGCAUUCAAAAACAAAUCUAACAGGGACCCAAUCUAAGGCAACGAAUCUGAGUAGCAUUAAAACCCCCAAUCUGUGAGCACUAAAAGCAAAUCUAAUAAGCAUCAUAGCAUUAAAAACCCCAAUUUGUUCACAACAUCUAGCAUUUUUGCAAUGAAUUUAUCCAAACCUAAAAACAAAUCUAAAAACCCCAAUCAUUGCAGCACCUAAAAUCAUAGUUCACAACAUCUGGCUAGCAUUUUUGCAACGAAUUUAUCCAACAAACCCUAGUCCAAAAACCCCCAUCCCCCCAACCCCGGCCCAUCCGUCAAACCGACUACUCUAACCAUCUGAAUUACUAUAUGAAUCAUAAUCUAACCAAUGCAACUAGGGAGCAACUAACUCUACAAGCUAAGCAAGUGCAAAUACCCGCUCCUCCACGGCAGGUGGCGCAACGGGGGCAUCAGGAUGUACUGCACCACUCGACGCCGUCACCUUCUACAGCGAUGAGGUGGAGCCUGCCACAUCCAUAGUGGUUGCGAGUUUCCCUGCACCGUCGUGGACGCGCCGACAUCUGCGGUCACCGUGCCCUGACCCUGCAGCUCCACCACAUCUCGGCCGCUGCUCUGGCGUCGCCACGAGUGUCGGCCAUCUGACAGAUGGAGGCGAUGAAGGUGAGGAAGAGGAUGCGGUGGGGGAGAGCGAGAGGGUGUGGUGGAGGCAGUGGAGGAGAGCGAGACGACGCUGGUUGGGGAGAGGAAGACAAUGCGACAGCAAGGGGAUUUGGGGGAAAAUGGUAGGGGCGAUGGAGGUGGUUGCCCUCUUUAUAUGAUGAGACGUUUUGGGAAUGUCCAUGGACACGUGGUACCCCAUGAUCGCGGUCUUGCAUGCACCCACGUAUAUGCGGCCCCACUCGUUAGCUAAUGAUCAAAGGCAUUGACCCGACAACAACAUCCGUUAUAACCUGUUCUGAGGGUUUCGGGCAAGGGAGUGGGGAAAAGUGAGCAAAAGUUAAUAGAGUGGGGAUGAAUGAGUAGAGCUAAGGAACCAGGGGCACAAAAAUAAAAAUCCCCAAAAAAAUUGAGUGAAAAAGGAGGAGAGUAAUCGAAACAAAAACACAUACGUCACGAUUCCUCACCAGAGCGAUGAAGGGGAUGGGGAGUAAAAAGAAUUCCUACUCUCUAAUAUAACUAGACUCAAAAUAGUUUUCUUCUAGACUCAACAACGACAUCGGUUCGAUCAAUCAAGGGGCCCCUAAGGUCGGUAAGGCUCUGAUACCAACUUGUAGCGCCCAAGAUGCAAUUCUAUCCCAAUCACGUGAUAAAUUCAUGAUUCGGGCACAAUCCCAUUUUGAGUGAAUAGCAAGGUGGAUAUCAUACAACAUACCAUGUACUGAAUAGAUGAGAAUACAAGAUAAAGGCUUACACUUGCCACAAGUUACAACGUUCAUACAACAAUACAUCAAUACAUAGCAUUCAUCAUGCAGAAGAGCAGGAUCCAACUACGGAUGAAAUCAAACGAAAAAGAAGAAGGACAUCCACCCUACUAAUGCCCAGGUCCCCGACCCAGAACCUAUAUCCCUUGAUUGAAGAAGCAGAAGAAGAACUCCAAACAAGUAAGCAUCACACUCGCGUCGGAUCAUCGCAUUACAUGUACCUGCAACUGUUGUUGUAGUAAUCUGUGAGCCACGAGGACUCAGUAAUCCCAUUAUCAUGGGUAUCAAGACUAGCAAAGCUUAAUGGGUAUGGAAUGGAUAAGUGGUGAGGUUGCAGCGAGCGACUAAGCAUUGUAUGGUGUCUAACUUACGAGUACAAGAAUAAGAUGAGAAGCUACGUAAACGGUCGCAAACUAGUAAUGAUCAAGAAGUGAUCUUGAACUACUUACGUUCUAUCAUAACCCCACCGUGUUCUCUUCUCGACUUACUCGAAAAGUGACAGUCACGGUUACACACGUGGUUGGUGUAUUUUAAUUCGAAUUUGGUGUCAAGUUCUCUACAACCGGAUAUUAAAAAAUCCCAUCUGCCACCCGCGGGCACGACUCUUGAAAGUUUAAAUCCUGCAGGGGUGUCCCAACUUAGCCCAUGACAAGCUCACGAUCCGUGGAGACAAUCCUCUAUCGCAGGACAUUCGAUCAGACUCGGGAUCCCGGUACACAAGACAUUUUGACAAUGGUAAAACAAAACCAGCAAGACCUCCCGAUGUGCCAACACCCUGAUAGUAGCCACACGUAUCUCAUCUCACACCAAGAGGAUGAGCGACGCGUACAUGUGGCAAAAUAACCCAGGUUUCCCUAGGGCGGCCCCACACAAUGCUCUAGUUCGGACCAACACUCAUGAGGAGCACUGGCCCGGGGGUUGAUUAAGAAACCUCGGCUGCUAGCCGGUCCCUAUGCAAGUUCCUAGUUGUUAUUAGGCAAAUGGUAAAACCAAUGUUGGGCCUUGCUGGAAGAGUUUUAUUCAAAGCGAACUGUCAAGAGGGGCCCAUAAACCCUCAUCAUGUUAGGGACGCAAAAUCAAGGAACAUAACACCGGUAUGACAGAAACUAGGGCGGCAAGAGUGGAAAAAAACACCAGGCAUAAGGCCGAGCCUUCCACCCUUUACCAAGUAUAUAGAUGCAUUAAUUAAAUAAGAGAUAUUGUGAUAUCCCAUGAUAUCCAUGUCCCAACAUGGAACAACCUGCAACUGCACCUGCAACUAGAAACACUAUAAGAGGGACUGAGCAAAGCGGUAACAUAGCGAAACAACGGUUUGCUAGGAUGGUGGAAACGGUUAGAGGCUUUUCAUGGCCAUUUGGGAGGCUCGAUAAGCAAGUGGUAGAUAGCACGACAUAGAGAUAGCAUCGAGACAACUAGCAUAGCAAUGAUAGUUGUGAGAUCCAGGGUAACGGUCAUCUUGCCUAAAAUCCCGCUAGGAAGAAGACCGGGUCCAUGAAGUAGACGAACGGGUGUAGUCGAAUGAAUCCUCACAAUCGCAACAUUACCGGAGCUAACAAUCAACACCGGAAAGAAACAAACAACAUGGUAAACAACCAUCACAUAAACAUGGCAUGAUGCACAAUCAAGUAUGAUGCAUGUCCGGUUUUAAAAGGCAUGGCAUGGCAAAGUGCAACAAACAAUACUACAAAUUAAGUGGAGCUCAAUAUGCAACGAGUUGCAUAUUGACAAAACACCACAUUCAAAUUCUUAGUUCGCUCUCGUUACGAACCGAACAAGUUUAAAUGUUCUUAACAUUGCAAGAGGUGAGGCAUGAGUAAACUAUCUAUCUAGGCAAGUUUAAAUGAGGCCGGAAGCAACAAACAACAAUUUCGGAAAAACCUCAUAUGCAAUUUCAAAUUUGGUACUGUUCUGCCCUAAACCAUAUUUUAGAGUUGUUAAACAUGCAAAGUAAUGCUACCAUGUUAAUGUAGACAUUUUUCUACCCCAUUUACAUAUAAAGUUUAUAUAAUUCGGAGUUACGGUUAAUUAGUUAUGAAAUAAACCAUUUUAGCAUGUCGUCUAGCAAAUUAAAUGCAAACAACAUUUUAAACAUUUUAACAUAAAUAAAAAUAGCAUAUUAUGAAACUAGAUGAAAAUCUAAGCAUUUUACGUGUUUAAAUCUUUUUAAACCGAUGCACGGUUGUGGAGUUAUUAUAUGCAUGAAGUUAGGGGGUUUUCCUGUAAAACUGGUAAUUCCUGGAAAAUAGCUAAAAUCGCAGGAAGGAAAAAAAACAGCACUAGGCUGAAUCUGGAGGGCUGGGGGAACUGCUCACAUUGGGCCUCUUGGCCUGUAGGUGGAGCAGAUCUGGGCCGCGGGGUAGACCGAGCGAGGCGUGGUCAACGCUC
rnacentral:lncRNA from 1 species